rnacentral:lncRNA from 1 species
UGAAAAUCCUUUGAACAUAUUGAUUGGAGAUUUGCCAGAAUUCUCAAAUACUGUACCAGUCAACAGUAUUAAUCUUGGGGAAAACAAAGUUCUGGGUGGAAUCUGUUCAGAAAAAGAAUAUCCUUUGUUUUCUUUUUAAAGGAAAAAUAGAAAAAUGUUCGUAAGCCAAAAGUCAGCCUGUACACAUGCAAUUACACAACAUCAAAAAAUUGAUCUAGCUCUUUUUUUUUUAAAACAAAUUAUACUCUAAAAGCAAAGAUUUGAUUAAUUAAUGAAGAAAAUACCAUAUGCUGACCCAAAUUUCUAUACUUUUUCUGCAGAAACAAGUAUAUAUCCCGCUGGAAGAAAAUAUGAAUUUUAUAACACAUACACACUCUCACUGAAAUAAAAAGCAAGGCAUGCAGAAGCACACUGAGAAUAGAGAAAUGGAGAUCAACACAUUAAGAAGUACAAAGAACAAAGCUACAGCCCACCUUGUGUCGAAAAACAGAAAAUGCAGCGUUCAAAAUCCGUUUUUGUAAGCAGAGCGCCCAUCUUCAGCAAGAUGCUGGACACAAGGAUAACUUGAGGUUCGUAAAUGUCACUGCUGUUGCCAGGGGACAUGCUCCCAUGUGUUAUGUCAGUGGGAAAACACUCUGAAUUAGGGUGGAUUUGCACUGGUACAGUUUCUAGGAGGAAAUGUGACAUAGCAUAAAUCAUUACUUUUAGAUCCCAUGUCUAUGCAGCUUGAGCUCUACUGAAAUCAAAGAGGAUCUUUCCAUUUAUACAUUCAGUCAGACCCAGUUGAAAAUUAUUCGUUCACAGGGCAAAAAAUGGUAGAGUUCAUACUCUUUAAGAAGUGCUAUAAUUGUGUUUGGAAAUUUCCCAUAACAUGUUUGUAACAAGG